GAGUUUGAUCAUGGCUCAGAUUGAACGCUGGCGGCAUGCCUUACACAUGCAAGUCGAACGGCAGCACGGGAGCUUGCUCCUGGUGGCGAGUGGCGAACGGGUGAGUAAUGCAUCGGAACGUAUCCUGGAGUGGGGGAUAACGUUUCGAAAGGAACGCUAAUACCGCAUACGUCCUACGGGAGAAAGCAGGGGACCUUCGGGCCUUGCGCUAUCAGAUGAGCCUAGGUCGGAUUAGCUAGUUGGUGGGGUAAGUGGCUCACCAAGGCGACGAUCCGUAACUGGUCUGAGAGGAUGAUCAGUCACACUGGAACUGAGACACGGUCCAGACUCCUACGGGAGGCAGCAGUGGGGAAUAUUGGACAAUGGGCGAAAGCCUGAUCCAGCCAUGCCGCGUGUGUGAAGAAGGUCUUCGGAUUGUAAAGCACUUUAAGUUGGGAGGAAGGGCGAGUAAGUUAAUACCUUGCUGUUUUGACGUUACCGACAGAAUAAGCACCGGCUAACUCUGUGCCAG
rnacentral:rRNA from 1 species